GAAACCCCCCAAUAGGGUGAGUGGCACCGAGAUACAAAACCACAGCGAGAUCAGAGUGAAGUAGAGUGAUAUCGGGAUAGCUCCUGUGCUCUUGUUCCCCCAGAGAAUGAAGUUCAGAAUGGUCAGUAUCACAAAUACAACCCCCGGGAAGAAGCAUGCAAUCAACCAAGAAACCGACCUCCAACCUUCAGAUACGCCUUUAAUAGUCCUCCACAUCCGAACACCAACAUAUCCAGCCGCAAUCCCGAGGAACA
rnacentral:misc_RNA from 1 species